GUUUGCCAGAAAUCCAUGGGUAAGCAAAUUUGCAUUGCUUCAUACUG
rfam:Salmonella enterica subsp. arizonae serovar 62:z4,z23:--, complete genome.